UCUCCUACGGGAGGCAGCAGUGAGGAAUAUUGGUCAAUGGGCGAGAGCCUGAACCAGCCAAGUCGCGUGAGGGAAGACGGUCCUAUGGAUUGUAAACCUCUUUUGCCGGGGAGCAAAAAGCGGUACGUGUACCGCAUCGAGAGUACCCGGAGAAAAAGCAUCGGCUAACUCCGUGCCAGCAGCCGCGGUAAUACGGAGGAUGCGAGCGUUAUCCGGAUUUAUUGGGUUUAAAGGGUGCGCAGGCGGCGAGUUAAGUCAGCGGUCAAAGCCCGGGGCUCAACCCCGUCCCGCCCAUGCAACUGGCA
rnacentral:rRNA from 1 species